AUAUUAAGUUAAAGGAUCAUGAGAAAACAAAGAGGGAAAGAAAUUGCUGACUUAACUAAUUGAACUGGAAUACAAAAAGGGAGGUAUGAGGAGGUCAGGGAAACAAGGAUAUGAAUGUAAGCUAUGGAAAGAUUGACCCAUUUUUCUUUUUUCUCUUUUUAAGUGUCUUUUAUUCUUUUAUUCUGUAUUUUGUAUUUUUCUUGUAUUUUUACUUUUUGUUUUUCUGUAAUUCUUUUUUUCUCUGAAAUUUUAAUAAAUAUCAUU